AACGAACGCUGGCGGCAGGCUUAACACAUGCAAGUCGAACGCAUCGCAAGAUGAGUGGCAGACGGGUGAGUAACGCGUGGGAACAUACCCUUUUCUACGGAAUAGCUCUGGGAAACUGGAAUUAAUACCGUAUACGCCCUACGGGGGAAAGAUUUAUCGGGGAAGGAUUGGCCCGCGUUGGAUUAGCUAGUUGGUGGGGUAAAGGCCUACCAAGGCGACGAUCCAUAGCUGGUCUGAGGGGAUGAUCAGCCACAUUGGGACUGAGACACGGCCCAAACUCCUACGGGAGGCAGCAGUGGGGAAUAUUGGACAAUGGGCGCAAGCCUGAUCCAGCCAUGCCGCGUGAGUGAUGAAGGCCUUAGGGUUGUAAAGCUCUUUCACCGAUGAAGAUAAUGACGGUAGUCGGAGAAGAAGCCCCGGCUAACUUCGUGCCAGCCGCCGCAGUAAUAC
rnacentral:rRNA from 1 species